rnacentral:misc_RNA from 1 species
AACGCACCUUGCGCUCCUUGGUAUUCCGAGGAGCAUGCCUGUUUGAGUGUCAUUAAAUUCUCAACCUCACCAACUUUGUUGUGUGAAGGCUUGGAUGUGGGGGUUGCAGGUCCGCACUUGUGUGGUCUGCUCCUCUAAAACGUAUUAGUGGGUUAGUCCCCUAAUCUAUUGGUGUGAUAAUUAUCUACGCCGUGGAUUUGGAAGACUAUCAUAGACCUGCUUCUAACCGUCCUCUGGACAACUUUGACAAUUUUGACCUCAAAUCAGGUAAGACUACCCGCUGAACUUAA